UCCGUAGGGGGCAAGCGUUGUCCGGAAUCAUUGGGCGUAAAGAGCGUGUAGGCGGCCCGAUAAGUCCGCUGUGAAAGUCCAGGGCUCAACCCUGGGAUGCCGGUGGAUACUGUCGGGCUCGAGUCCGGAAGAGGAGUGUGGAAUUCCUGGUGUAGCGGUGAAAUGCGCAGAUAUCAGGAGGAACACCAAUGGCGAAGGCAGCACUCUGGGACGUGACUGACGCUGAGACGCGAAAGCGUGGGGAGCAAACAGG
rnacentral:rRNA from 1 species